UGUUCACUACAAUAAUAAAUCCGUUUUAUUGCGCUUUCUUAAAAGUGCGUUGCACAGCAAUAAGUAGCCUAACUUAAUAUUUUUGGGAAAUGGGUAAAAUAACCGACAGUGUUUACCUUCUUGUAAAACUCGGAUGGCCUUGUGAUAUGUAGAGGCUACAUUCCUCUCCGUUUACUUUUUAGUAUAGACCUACUGUAGGCUAUCAUCAUGAAAAGGAGCAAGAAGGACAUUAUGUCCUUUUUUGCCCCUAUUAGCAAAAAGCAACAUAGAGAGAGUAAGGAAGAUGAAGAUUAAGAAAGAGGAGAGAGAGCCAGAGGUGGAGAGAGAGCCAGAGGUGGUGGUUGGAGAGGUGGAAAGUGAGGCAUCUGAAAGGCAAUCUGAGAGUGAGGAUGAAGACAUUCAGGAUCAGAUUGAGGGACAGAAUGAGGGACAACCCAACGAGUCAUUGGGACAACCAGAUUCACCAUGCAUAUCAAGUACAGCACCAUCAGAUAUCAGCAAGUGCUUGGACGACACUCCAGUGCAGCCACAUCUGAAGAAAAGGUUCAUUGUAUGCAAAAAUAGAAAUCUUAUUUUACAAAAAAGAGAAACAUGGUUUUAAGAUUUAUUGAGCACAAUUUAUUUUAUGU